rnacentral:tRNA from 1 species
UCCCUGGAGGACUAGUGGUUAGGCCAUGACGCUCGCACCGCUGUGGCCCAGGUUCGAUUCCUGGCCCGGGAA